rnacentral:rRNA from 1 species
UACGUAGGGGGCAAGCGUUGUCCGGAAUCAUUGGGCGUAAAGCGCACGUAGGCGGAUCGUUAAGUCGGAGGUGAAAUCCUGGAGCUCAACUCCAGAACUGCCUUCGAUACUGGCGAUCUUGGAGUCCGGGAGAGGUGAGUGGAACUCCGAGUGUAGAGGUGAAAUUCGUAGAUAUUCGGAAGAACACCAGUGGCGAAGGCGGCUCACUGGCCCGGUACUGACGCUGAGGUGCGAAAGCGUGGGGAGCAAACAGG